GCCAUUCUUAGUUGGUGGACUAAUUUAUCUGGUUACUUCUGUUAAAAACGAGACUCUGGCAUGCUAACUAGUUACGCGACCCCCGAGCGGUCGGCGUCCCCCAACUUCUUAGAGGGACAAGUGGCGUUCAGCCACCCGAGAUUGAGCAAUAACAGGUCUGUGAUAACCUUAGAUGUCCAGGGCUGCAUGUGUGCUUUACUGACUGGCUAAGUGUGUGGGUACCCUAUGCCGAGCAG